UUCCAGAUGGCUCAGUGGGUAAAGAAUCUGCCUGCAAUGCAGGAGACACUGGUUCAAUUUCUGGGUCGGGAAG
rfam:Ovis aries breed Texel chromosome 1, whole genome shotgun sequence.